rnacentral:lncRNA from 1 species
CUAACAACCCACUCCCACUCCUCCUAUUGCAGGUUGCUGAACCCAUUUGUAGACCUAGCUGCUUCUAAACUAACAGCCUUGGGGCUGGUUUAUUGGUUCUUGCAAGGUGAUGCACGGUAAAGCCUUAGCAGGCAGAUGUCAGGACCACUAAGAGACUCUACCUUAAAUCUGGCAAAUUUUUUGUUUCCAGGCCUUGAAAAUACACUUCUUACAAGUUUCAUGCAAAUUACUCCCAUGAUCUGACACAUAGCCAGAAAAACAGCCUCAGCAAAAACUUUCUCCUUCCUACCUCCAGGAAGUCCUUGGUUUUUGCUGGCCACAAUCUUAGAGAAACUUCCAGCCAAACAGGCAAAUCUGGCCUCACACCAACAUGACAAAUAUGGUUUCUGUCCAAUGGUGCUGAUGCCACAGAUCCUCUUUGGGGGAUGUGCCUGCCUCACUGUCUCAGAUGCAAAUUCAAGGUUGGAGAGACAAAUGGAGGAACGAGCACAAAACUUCCACCCUACCACUUUCUUGUUAUCAGCCUAUGCAACAUAAUUUCCCCCAAAGAAAGGCGAUAAAAUUUCAAACACCUCCUCUUGACUUCUUCUCCUAGAAAAACUCUCUCACUUCAUUCUUGUCUCUGCCUUCAAAAGAUAGAUCUGCUUUGCCUGGAAGUGCCUUGUGGCUUCACUGCCCAGGCCCUCUCUCCCUCUGCUUCCGGAGUGAGCACAUCGGAAGGCAGUGGAGAGGGGGCUGAGCAUAACAGCUAAGAAUGCAGGCUUCAGACUCGAGCUGCCUGGGAUCAAACCCAGCUCAAACACAUGUUUGUAUGAAAACUUUGGCACUUAGCCUUUUCUCUGCCUUGACUGCUCCAUCUGUAAGAUGGGGAUGAUAAUAAUCUUCUGCUUUAUAGGGCUGAAGAUUAAGUGAGGUAAUGUAUAUAAAACAUCCAGCAGCUGGUCAAUAGGCAUUAGCCACUGUUAGCCACUAGUCGGCUUUAAUUCCCUGAGAGCAGGGACUCCAUUUUUUUUUUUUUUUUUUAUCACAUUGUACCUCUAGUACCUACAAUGGUGCCUGGCACAUAGUAAGCACUUCCAAAAUAUCUGAUCAAUGUUAACUGAAUGUGUGGAAGGAACUUGAGUGCCAAGAGUCCCUGCUGGGAUCCUCCUUUAAGAACAACCCUUCCCUGCCCAAAGUCUGUGUUACAAGUAGAACCCUGAUGUUGGUCAUAAUGUGCCCCCUGGAGCCAGGUGGGUAAAGGUUGAUGAUCAGAGUAAUGUGUGCACCAUCAGUGGCUGGGGGAAAAGAAGGUUUCACGUAACACAAGGGAGAGAAGUUUUAUCUGGGCUCCUUCAGUAUUAUUUUGACUUUCAUUUAUUCUACGUGACUUCUCUGAUGAUGGACAUGAAGAGAUAUUGCCGUGUUGGACUCCCUGACCCCUGUGGUAGAGGUUACACUUGCAUAAACCCUUGGGGACAUACUCUGGGGAGUGAGGCUAUUUUGUGGAGUCCCUUGGCAGGGGCCCUAGACAAGAGAUUCUUUCUUGUUCCAAGCUGUGGCAUGUGACUGUGGUUUUGGAGCUGGAAGAGAAGAAUGAGAUGGAAUAUUACAUGGUAAAUUAACUAGUCAUUUUAGCUAUUAAACAUCUGCCCUCCAAUAAGAGUUAUUAGUGUGGCUUCUGCUGGCUUAUGACACUGAAAGUCCAAAACUCCAGCAUAAUUGAGACUUCAAUGCUGUAAGAUGAUUAGAUUUGCCCAGACAUUUGGAUAUUAUUCCAUUGGUGAUAUGUAAUUAUUUUUAUCUCAGAUUUCUAGGAUAUUGUCCAGGUUUUGUGCUUUAUCUAUCUCUUGGCUGUUAUUACUUUUGCCUAUACUUGGAAGCUUUUAUCAAUUACAGGUGAGCCAAUUAAAGCAGAAACCCUUGGUGUAAGAGCAUAAAACACCAUCACACAGUAUUUGACCUCUGAAAGGCUCUGGGGGAGAGGAAGGUGAAUUAAUCGACACAGACUCACGGCUGGAGUCUGCUAAAGAGCAUGUCAGCAAACCCGCUAAUGCUGCAGCAAAUGAGCUGAUCUACCCAGAUACACUCACUCGUCUGGUCCUCCCCAAAUUCAUCCUGACAAUCUGUUUCUGCAGCUAGUGAUGGAGAUGCAAAUGCUGGCUACUGGGAUUUUCCAGAUUGCUUUCAAUAUUCUAAAUGCCAAACCAUCAGAGUUUUAAAAUUUACUUUUGAUUUGCCAAAUACCACAGCAUCAGGACAUGUAUUCUAGGAUAGAUGUAUGCCAGUUAUAAGACAUUUUUAUGUGCUUUUUUCUUUUCUUUUCUUUUUUCAAGGAAGGUUAGCCCUGAGCUAACAUCUGCUGCCAAUCCUCCUCUUUUUGCUGAGGAAGACUGGCCCUGACCUAACACCCCACCUUCCUCUACUUUACAUGUGGGACUCCUGCCACAGCAUGGCUUGACAAGCGGCAUGUAGGUCCGCACCCAGGAUCCGAACCGGCAAACCCCUGGCUGCUGAAGCGGAAUGUGCGGACUUAACCGCUGUGCCACCAGGCCGGCCCCUUUGUGUGUGCUUUUUUGCCUUCUUGUUUUCUGUGGGUUUCUUGGUGGUAUUCUUUGACAGUUCAGUCCAAGAGGGACAAAGUGCCCUAGAGGAGAAACGGACACAGUCUUAACCAUGGCAUCACCUACAGGCUAUAAACCCCGAGAGUGGACAGCAGUAAUGUAAGUGGUUCCACAGCCUUGCCUUUGGAUAAUCGGGCCUGGCUUUCCAGUUACUUCUUGAACACUUGCAGAUAUGUGAGUGAUGGGUUAUGUUAGGUGGGGGCAACUUUGGAGCCAUCUGCCUAAGAAGAAGAGUGUAAACUCUAGCAAGGCAUAUUUUGUUUCACUCAAAUAAGUAACUAUGCAUUGAUAAUGUAGAGUGUAAAUGUUUCCACAGGAAAAAAUACAGGGGAGGGACACUGGAUAAGUUGGGUUUCGAUUUCACUGCAUAGGACCCAGACUCCAAAAUAACAGUGCCUUACACAGGAGGGAAGUUUGUUUCUCUCUUACAGAAACAAAAGCAGGAGGUAGGCAGGGCAGAAUGUAUAGUAACUCUAUGAAGUCAUUAGGAAACGAACCUCAUCUCUUUCCGGUUCAAGGCUCUACCAUCCCCGGGUUGUGGCCUGUGUCUUUAUGGUCCAACUUGGUGGCUAGAGAACCAGCCAUCAUAUUCAAAUGGAGGAAGAAGAAAGGCAUGUCCCCUCCCUAUAAGAUCACAUCCCAGAAGUUGCAAACCUUUCCAUUUUCAUAUCAUUGGCCAGAGCUUAGCCAAAUGGCCACACCUACCUACAAAAGAUGCUGGGAAAUUUUGUCUUUAUCCCAAGCACCAUAUGCUCAGCUUAAAAAUUAGAAGUUGUGUUACAAAGAAAGAAAGGAGAAAGUGGAUAUUGAGCAGUCUGUGCUAUAAACACUGAUCCCAGCCAUGGACACCAGCAAAGCCCUCCUAAAGGAGGGGAACGUCUGAGCACAGAAUGAAAUGUGAUUAGGGACAUGUCCAGAUGAAAGGGACGUAGGAGAGGAGGAAGGGGAGGGGGCAGCUCAAGUGAGGACAUAACGGAGAGGAUGCUUGACUUGUUGGAGGAACUGAAAGAUGCUCCUUCUGGCUGGAUUAUAGAGUAGAGGCAGGAGAAGUCACUCCCUAUACUAGGCUCAGGGUUCUGGCUCUCUCGUUCGUCUCCUGCUUCAGCUCAUUCUCCAAGUUUAAAGUGAGUGGCAAAUCCCUCCACGGCAGGAAGGGGAAGAGUAGAUAGAACACCAUAUCUAUGUUAAGGAGACCCACUCCUUUUUCCUCAAAAUAGGAGACUUGAAUUUCCUCUUCAACCAAAAUGAAAAACAAAGCAUCUUCAGUGGACUCUUUGGAGAGGCUCCAGAGUGGGUGGGCGGUGGAAAGAGAGCAUCACCAAGUGGCUCUCUUCUGUCUCUCCACACCUGGGAGAUAACUUCUUUCCAUUACUAUGGCAACCGUUAUGGAUAGGGAUCUGUGAACUG